rnacentral:rRNA from 1 species
CAUGCAGUCGACGGUAACAGCAGAGCUUGCUCUGGCUGACGAGUGGCGCACGGGUGAGUAAUAUAUAGUUAAUGUGCCCCAAAGACUAGGAUAGCCACUGGAAACGGUGAUUAAUACUGGAUACUCCUUCUAACUCUAAUGUUAGUCGGGAAAGUUUUUCGCUAAAAGAUCGGUCUAUAUCCCAUCAGUUAGUUGGUAAGGUAACGGCUUACCAAGGCAAUGACGGGUAGCGGGUUUGAGAGGAUGAUCCGCCACACUGGUACUGAGACACGGACCAGACUCCUACGGGAGGCAGCAGUGAGGAAUAUUGCACAAUGGGGGAAACCCUGAUGCAGCAACGCCGCGUGGAGGAUGACGCAUUUCGGUGUGUAAACUCCUUUUAUAUGUCAAGAAAAUGACGGUAGCAUAUGAAUAAGCACCGGCUAACUCCGUGCCAGCAGCCGCGGUAAUACGGAGGGUGCAAGCGUUACUCGGAAUCACUGGGCGUAAAGGACGCGUAGGCGGGUUGGAAAGUCUGAUGUGAAAUCCUACAGCUUAACUGUAGAACUGCAUUGGAAACUUCCAACCUAGAGUAUGGGAGGGGGAGAUGGAAUUAGUGGUGUAGGGGUAAAAUCCGUAGAUAUCACUAGGAAUACCUAAAGCGAAGGCGAUCUCCUGGAACAUUACUGACGCUAAGGCGUGAAAGCGUGGGGAGCAAACGGGAUUAGAUACCCCGGUAGUCCACGCCCUAAACGAUGAACACUAGUCGUCGGGAUGCUUGUCAUCUCGGUGAUGCACUUAACAGAUUAAGUGUUCCGCCUGGGGAGUACGGUCGCAGA